GCGCCCGUAGCUCAGCUGGAUAGAGCGCUGCCCUCCGAAGGCAGAGGCCAGAGGUUCGAAUCCUCUCGGGUGCGCCA
rnacentral:tRNA from 1 species